GACUAACGCUGGCGGCGUGCAUAACACAUUCAAGUCGAACGGUUGUAGCAAUACAACAGUGGCGGACGGGUGAGUAACGCGUGAGCAAUCUACCUUCCAGUGCGGAAUAACAACCGGAAACAGUUGCUAAUACCGCAUGAAACAGCAGCACCGCAUGGUGCAACUGUCAAAGGCUUGCUGCUGGAAGAUGAGCUUGCGUCUGAUUAGAUAGUUGGUGAGGUAGUGGCUCACCAAGUCGACGAUCAGUAGCCGGACUGAGAGGUUGAACGGCCACAUUGGAACUGAGAUACGGUCCAGACUCCUACGGGAGGCAGCAGUGGGGAAUAUUGGGCAAUGGGCGAAAGCCUGACCCAGCGACGCCGCGUGAGGGAAGAAGAUCUUCGGAUUGUAAACCUUAGUCAACAGGGAAGAAGAAAGUGACGGUACCUGUGGAGGAAGCCACGGCUAACUACGUGCCAGCCGCCGCAGUAAUAC
rnacentral:rRNA from 1 species